rnacentral:misc_RNA from 1 species
UGUCUUUAUUAAGAAUGAAGG